CUUUAGUUAUUUUUUUUAUCCUAGGGGGACACAUGAUAGAAACGGACCGGAUAGGAUAAGAAAAAAAGUUACGUUCUUCUCCUUACUCUUCGGGAGUUGGGUUUGGCACCCCACCUAUGGGGCUUGGCACCCCACUUUAUCAAAUACGGAAUUUAAAGUUCCGUAUUCUCCAUAUUGAAUACGGAACUUAAAAUUCCGUACUGUAUUUAAGCAUGCGUGUCACAUUUUCAACCACUCAUUAUAUACUAAAACAGAUACGAAAUUUUAUUUUCCGUAUUGAUACGGAAAUUUAAAUUCCGUAUCUAUUUUAGUGGGGUGCAAAGCCUAAGGGGUGGGGCUCCAAACCCAACUCCCUUACUCUUCACGCGUUUCAUUUGUCUUCUCUUCUGCAAGCCCUACUCUUCUCCUCCUUCGUUCUUCUACUUCCAGUGCUACCGGCCGCCACUCUCGCUGCUGCCGCCCGCCGCUGCCGCCGCACGCACCUGUUGCAGAAAUGUGUCUUGAUAACAGGGGUAAAUGUGUCUUGUGGAAAGUCAAUCAAGGAAAAAAAACAGAGGAGCAAAUCUGAUUGCUAAUAGUAUAUCUGAAUUAGGAAAUACUCUUGGGAAAUGGCUUGAAUUGAGUGCUGAAAGAUUGGCUGAGGCUAGUAAUAGCCUCAAAGUUGAUAAAGACAUGUUUGAUGAUUCCAGGGGCGUCAUGGAUGAGCUGUUGAAAAUGGGUUUAACGGAUCAAGAGCGUUAUGUAGCUAGAGAUAAGAUAAUGUCUAUGCCUCAUCGUGUGCACAUGUUUUGGGCUUGUCAUGGAGAGGACCGUCUCAAGUUUGUGAAGUCAUUGAUAUAAUUGCUUUGAGUAAUUGCUUUGGAGAAUGACAUAUUGUUGGACGAUGUUUAUGCUAUUUUGCUUUGUUUAUGUUGGCUUCUCUACUACAUUCGGAUAGUUCACCAUUUUGUUGGAUGUUUAUGUUAUUUGGCUUUGUUAUGCUAUUUCUAGGGUGGAGAUGACAUUGCUCCUCUAUUACAUUCGGAUAGUACACCAUUUUGUUGGACGGUGUUUAUGCUAUGUUACUUUAUUUUGAUGGAGGAUGUUUAUGAUGUUUAUGUUAUUUAUAAAAAGCACAUGAUUCAACUUA